GAUGAACGCUAGCUACAGGCUUACACAUGCAAGUCGAGGGGCAGCAUGGUCUUAGCUUGCUAAGGCUGAUGGCGACCGGCGCACGGGUGAGUAACACGUAUCCAACCUUGCCGUCUACUCUUGGCCAGCCUUCUGAAAGGAAGAUUAAUCCAGGAUGGGAUCAUGAGUUCACAUGUCCGCAUGAUUAAAGGUAUUUUCCGGUAGACGAUGGGGAUGCGUUCCAUUAGAUAGUAGGCGGGGUAACGGCCCACCUAGUCAACGAUGGAUAGGGGUUCUGAGAGGAAGGUCCCCCACAUUGGAACUGAGACACGGUCCAAACUCCUACGGGAGGCAGCAGUGAGGAAUAUUGGUCAAUGGGCGAUGGCCUGAACCAGCCAAGUAGCGUGAAGGAUGACUGCCCUAUGGGUUGUAAACUUCUUUUAUAAAGGAAUAAAGUCGGGUAUGCAUACCCGUUUGCAUGUACUUUAUGAAUAAGGAUCGGCUAACUCCGUGCCAGCAGCCGCGGUAAUACGGAGGAUCCGAGCGUUAUCCGGAUUUAUUGGGUUUAAAGGGAGCGUAGAUGGAUGUUUAAGUCAGUUGUGAAAGUUUGCGGCUCAACCGUAAAAUUGCAGUUGAUACUGGAUGUCUUGAGUGCAGUUGAGGCAGGCGGAAUUCGUGGUGUAGCGGUGAAAUGCUUAGAUAUCACGAAGAACUCCGAUUGCGAAGGCAGCCUGCUAAGCUGCA
rnacentral:rRNA from 1 species